UACGUAGGGUGCAAGCGUUAAUCGGAAUUACUGGGCGUAAAGCGUGCGCAGGCGGUUAUGUAAGACAGAUGUGAAAUCCCCGGGCUCAACCUGGGAACUGCAUUUGUGACUGCAUAGCUAGAGUACGGUAGAGGGGGAUGGAAUUCCGCGUGUAGCAGUGAAAUGCGUCGAUAUCUGGAGGAACACCGGUGGCGAAGGCGGCAUCUGGACCGGUAUUGACGCUGACGGGAGCGAAAAGCCGGGGAGCAAAGCGGG
rnacentral:rRNA from 1 species